UUAAUCCUGAGGAGGGAAUGCCAAAAGUUCUGGAAUUUAUUGUGACAUGAAAAUCACCAUCCUUCACAUGGAGAUGGAUUGGCAUGUCACUGAAGACUAUAAAUUUCACUGCUAUCAUGGACCCGUGACACUUUGAAGACUUCACCUCCAAUCCUCUGGUGCAAUUAAUCUUACCAAAACGUUCAAGAUGCUUGCUAGCUCUGGUUCAUCUGUUCUGAUUAACACGAAGUCAUCAAUAUGGUAGACUGGUAC
rnacentral:lncRNA from 1 species